rnacentral:rRNA from 1 species
UACAGAGGUGGCAAGCGUUGUUCGGAAUUACUGGGCGUAAAGGGCGCGUAGGCGGCCAUCUAAGUCAGACGUGAAAUCCCCCGGCUUAACCUGGGAACUGCGUCUGAUACUGGACGGCUCGAGUAUGGGAGAGGGAUGUAGAAUUCCAGGUGUAGCGGUGAAAUGCGUAGAUAUCUGGAGGAACACCGGUGGCGAAGGCGGCAUCCUGGACCGGUAUUGACGCUGAGGCGCGAAAGCCAGGGGAGCAAACGGG